ACAGUGGCCACCCGAGCAAACAGACAACCAAAAAUUGGGCCUGGUUUGAAACAGCACAGCUUCUCUGCAGACACUUAGCCUCCUGGACCCCCCACCCAACAGUGAGCCGAUGGCCUUCAGGUUAGCUGAGCUUUCUAAAAUAAGCAGUUCGUCUAUGGACUGAAGUCAAGAGCUCAAGCAUCAAGUACACGUCUUUGAGAAAAGCUGCCAUGCUUGGAAAAGUUAACUUUUCAGAUGCUGAUAGAAAUGAACUCUUAACCACUAGCAUGGGCAAACUUCAAAGUUGAACUGUGUGCUUGCUGCUUUCUUUCCUAGAAUUCUUGUCAUUACAAAACUAUGUAAGAUCAACGCAAAACUAUCUGUGAUGUUGAUCAAAUGCAAUAAAAAGAAUGAUACAGC
rnacentral:lncRNA from 1 species